ensembl:miRNA
AUUUGUUAAGUUGGUGCAAAAGUAAUUGCGGUUUUUGCCAUUAAAACUAAUAGCAAAAACCGCAAUUACUUUUGCAUUAACCUAAUAACAAUCAUUUCUUUAGUU